UACGUAGGUGACAAGCGUUGUCCGGAUUUACUGGGCGUAAAGAGCGCGCAGGCGGUCGAUCAAGUCGAGUGUGAAAGCCCCCGGCUCAACUGGGGAGGGUCAUUCGAUACUGAUCGACUCGAAGGCAGGAGAGGGUAGUGGAAUUCCCGGUGUAGUGGUGAAAUGCGUAGAUAUCGGGAGGAACACCAGUGGCGAAGGCGGCGAUCUGGACGAUGACUGACGCUGAGACGCGAAAGCGUGGGGAGCAAACAGG
rnacentral:rRNA from 1 species